GGAUCAUUACCGAGUUUACAACUCCCAAACCCCUGUGAACAUACCUAUACGUUGCCUCGGCGGAUCAGCCCGCGCCCCGUAAAACGGGACGGCCCGCCCGAGGACCCUAAACUCUGUUUUUAGUGGAACUUCUGAGUAAAACAAACAAAUAAAUCAAAACUUUCAACAACGGAUCUCUUGGUUCUGGCAUCGAUGAAGAACGCAGCAAAAUGCGAUAAGUAAUGUGAAUUGCAGAAUUCAGUGAAUCAUCGAAUCUUUGAACGCACAUUGCGCCCGCCAGUAUUCUGGCGGGCAUGCCUGUUCGAGCGUCAUUUCAACCCUCAAGCUCAGCUUGGUGUUGGGACUCGCGGUAACCCGCGUUCCCCAAAUCGAUUGGCGGUCACGUCGAGCUUCCAUAGCGUAGUAAUCAUACACCUCGUUACUGGUAAUCGUCGCGGCCACGCCGUAAAACCCCAACUUCUGAAUGUUGACCUCGGAUCAGGUAGGAAUACCCGCUGAACUUAAGCAUAUCAAAAGCCGGGAGGAA
rnacentral:rRNA from 1 species